GACGAACGCUGGCGGCGUGCUUAACACAUGCAAGUCGAACGAUGAUGCCCAGCUUGCUGGGUGGAUUAGUGGCGAACGGGUGGGUAACACGUGAGUAACCUGCCCCUGACUCUGGGAUAAGCGUUGGAAACGACGUCUAAUACUGGAUACGAACACCGGCCGCAUGGUCUGGGGGGGGAAAGAUUUUUUGGUUGGGGAUGGACUCGCGGCCUAUCAGCUUGUUGGUGAGGUAAUGGCUCACCAAGGCGACGACGGGUAGCCGGCCUGAGAGGGUGACCGGCCACACGGGGACUGGGACACGGCCCAGACUCCUACGGGAGGCAGCAGUGGGGAAUAUUGCACAAUGGGCGAAAGCCUGAUGCAGCAACGCCGCGUGAGGGAUGACGGCCUUCGGGUUGUAAACCUCUUUUAGUAGGGAAGAAGCGAAAGUGACGGUACCUGCAGAAAAAGCACCGGCUAACUACGUGCCAGCCGCCGCCGUAA
rnacentral:rRNA from 1 species